GCGGCAGCGGGAAAGUAGCUUGCUACUUUUGCCGGCGAGCGGCGGACGGGUGAGUAAUGCCUGGGAAAUUGCCCAGUCGAGGGGGAUAACAGUUGGAAACGACUGCUAAUACCGCAUACGCCCUACGGGGGAAAGCAGGGGACCUUCGGGCCUUGCGCGAUUGGAUAUGCCCAGGUGGGAUUAGCUAGUUGGUGAGGUAAUGGCUCACCAAGGCGACGAUCCCUAGCUGGUCUGAGAGGAUGAUCAGCCACACUGGAACUGAGACACGGUCCAGACUCCUACGGGAGGCAGCAGUGGGGAAUAUUGCACAAUGGGGGAAACCCUGAUGCAGCCAUGCCGCGUGUGUGAAGAAGGCCUUCGGGUUGUAAAGCACUUUCAGCGAGGAGGAAAGGUCAGUAGCUAAUAUCUGCUGACUGUGACGUUACUCGCAGAAGAAGCACCGGCUAACUCCGUGCCAGCAGCCGCGGUAAUACGGAGGGUGCAAGCGUUAAUCGGAAUUACUGGGCGUAAAGCGCACGCAGGCGGUUGGAUAAGUUAGAUGUGAAAGCCCCGGGCUCAACCUGGGAAUUGCAUUUAAAACUGUCCAGCUAGAGUCUUGUAGAGGGGGGUAGAAUUCCAGGUGUAGCGGUGAAAUGCGUAAAGAUCUGGAGGAAUACCGGUGGCGAAGCGGCCCCCUGGACAAAGACUGACGCUCAGGUGCGAAAGCGUGGGGAGCAACAGGAUUAGAUUCCCUGGUAGUCCACGCCCGUAAACGAUGUCGAUUUGGAGGCUGUGUCCUUGAGACUGGCUUUCCGGAACUAACGCGUUAAAUUCGACCGCCUGGGGAGUACGGCCCCAGGUUAAACUCAAUGAAUUGACGGGGGCCCCCAACCGUGGACUGGGGUUUAUUUCAUGAACCGAAAACCUACCGGCCUGAAUUUGGAAUCUGCAAAAUUCGGAAGGCCUCGGAACAAAACAGGGCUGCUUGUUUCUCAUCCGGCGGAGAGUUGGUAAUCCCAAAGCACCCGUCUUUUCCCCCAUGGGGAAUCAGGAAUCCGGUAACCAGAAGGGGUACAGUUUGGCCUUGCGGCCCCUUAAUGGGGAAGGGCAUUUAUAAGACCAAACCUUCUUGGUGCUCCCCUGGAAAUAUACAAAAGGGGAUCCCUCCCCCCCGGGGGUAAAAAUUCUGGGGCGGUUGGGGAGAAAAAGNNNNUUACGUUAUCCUCAUUAAAAUUACAUUUCUCCCCUGCCC
rnacentral:rRNA from 1 species